CAGUCGCCGCGGUAAUACGUGGGUCCCGAGCGUUGUCCGGAUUUAUUGGGCGUAAAGCGAGCGCAGGCGGUUAGAAAAGUCUGAAGUGAAAGGCAGUGGCUCAACCAUUGUAGGCUUUGGAAACUGUUUAACUUGAGUGCAGAAGGGGAGAGUGGAAUUCCAUGUGUAGCGGUGAAAUGCGUAGAUAUAUGGAGGAACACCGGUGGCGAAAGCGGCUCUCUGGUCUGUAACUGACGCUGAGGCUCGAAAGCGUGGGGAGCAAACAGGAUUAGAUACCCUAGUAGUCCCUGUCUCUUAUACC
rnacentral:rRNA from 1 species